UCACAUUUCUCUUUUGUGCUACAUGCCAGGGAUCGAGAACAGGAAGAGCACUGAGUAAAAAACAAGUCCAUCUGUCUCCUUUGUUUGAACUGUGACCAGCUUUCCGGCGUCAUCGGCAGAGGCUCACACCUCGCACAGCACAGAAUUCGAUUCGCUCCUCCGGCGUGCAGCUCCGACCAAUAGGGGAAAUGUUGAGCAUGCCAUGCCUGAACUCAAUGAACGUUCCCCUGCAGGCAGAAGAGGACACUUAAAGGACAUUUAAAAAAAAACGUAACUGAGGCAGAAACCUGGAUUUGAUUUAACAUGAUACCAAGUUUACAAAGAGAGCAUCACCCCCCAUAGGAAGAAGAAAAACACAUGUUAACAAUCAUGUUUUAUCUUUAUUCCUACACAGAGAUCCCAAUCGGGCAUGUUCUUAUCUGCCUCAACAAGUCAGUGCUGAAUCUGCUGAUGGAUAAAGAGAUAGCAGGAAUACCAGGAAUGCAGGUCAAAGGUGUGCGUGUGUGUCCAUCCUGGGGGUUUGAAUAACUUGACUGUCUUAUGAGGUCGGUCAAAGUCUCACCUUUUCUUUGGCAGCUUGAUGAGCCCCAUGUAGCUCAGGCAGAAGUUGAUCAGGUCCUGCAGCAGCUCCUCCCCGAUCUGGUUCUGAAUGGCCUGACGGGAUGAAAAUACACUUCAUUCAUAAACACUUUCACACACUGUGCUCUGUCCCAUUGUUUGGACAGGUGACUGAAACUGAUUCAAAUUAUUACAUUUAUUUUUCCCCCUGUGUAUCCAUAUGGUUCGUCAAGAUGAAGGUAAAGAGGUCACCUAUUAAAUUCAUAGUUGUAAGUAGCCUUUCAGGUGGGCUGUGCAAUAUAUCAAUAUGAUAUCGAUAUAGUGAUAUGAGACUAGAUAUCGUCUUGGAUAUAAUAUUAUCGUAAUAAGUGUUAUCUUUUCCUGGUUUUAAAGGUUGCAUUACAGUAAAGUGAUUUAAUUUUCUAAGUUUACCAAACUGUUCUAGCUGUUCUAUUAUUUGCCUUUACCCAAUUAGUCAUUAUAGCCACAUUACUGAUAAUUAUUAAGCAAAAAUUUGUGUCAAUAUUUUGUAAAAGCACCAAUGGUCAACCCUAUAAUAUCGUUGCAAUAUCUAUAUCGAGGUAUUUGAUCUCCAUGUCACCCAGCCUUACCUUUUAGUAUCUUAAGCUUUUGGCUAAUGAAUUAGAUCAUUUGUCUUAUUUCUUUGUAGGUAAACAUAUUUUUCAUCACAUAAAAUGUAAACAUGUGAAGCAUGUAUGUGGUAUUUCUCUCAAAACAGAUUAUGUGUUGGAUACCAGCUGACGUUUUGACAUAACAUGAAAAAUGGGACUCUGAAUGAUCACUUACGUGCUUUGAGAGGAGUUUCCCAUCUUUGUAUUGCACUGUCCCGUUCUCAGCAAACACAUAGUCAAACUUGUGUAUCACUGCAAGAGAGGAGAGGAGACAGGUGAAAUGUGACUAAUGUGCUCAUAACACCCAUUCAAGGAAGUAGUAGGAAGAAGUGUCUCUCCCACUAAGGUCUGAAUACAGAAGAAUAGAACAGCCUGCUAUAUUUACCUGGUGGCAGAUUACAGUUUGUGUAACUCUGCCUGGAAAAGCCACGCUUAAUCUGUCUGACCUUCCCACUCACUUUGGCCUGUAAGUGAUCCGCAAGCAACACUCUCCAGGAAAAGUCUGUAACUUUGCCUGACUAAAAAGCUGCUUUCAUCACUUUCCCAUUAAUAACCACAGCAGUCACCUGCACAACAGCAGAAUCCAGCAAACUGAAGGCAUGUAGAAGCUGAUGAUGUAAAAACAGCUGGAUUGUGUCUGUGUGACAAAUAAUAAUAAAAUGCUCCUCUCACUGGGUUAAAAAUGUAAAAAAGAUGUUAUUAGAAUUAACUGUUAUGUGGUUAUUUAGUUUUACACAUUAACUGAUGAUUAAAUGAUAAAACUGACAAUUUCAAUAACCUUUUUCACCAUCAAUAAAAAGAAACACUACAAUAAUGU